GCCAGAAGGAGGAACCAGUAGCUAGACCCUCUCCUUCUCCCCAUGGCAAGUCUGCAAACCCCCUCCAACAGGGGCCACGGGAGCAUAGAACAGUCCCAGAGGAUCCCGUGUGCAGAUGCUCAGAGCCCAGAGCUCAGGGUGGCAUCGCUGCCCCCCGGCCCUGCCCCAAGCCCGGCCUCCUCGACCACAGGGCACCGUAACCAUCAGCAGCUUGCAGGCAGCUCCCCUUGCCGUGGGUCACUGGACCGAAGCGCAGAGACGCUGAGUGAGGCCCGCGUAGCUGCCCGGCCUCCCUGGGAGGCUCACAGGGGCCCAGCUCGUCGCCCCAGGAUGAGAAAAGCCGGCAUGAGCUAGAAGAAUAGGACUUGCAGUUCUCACUGCCCAGCGUCCCGGUUUCUGCGUUAAGAAACCCAACGAACUAAAAUCUUCUUUGAGGCCUUCAUCUGGUCCUUGGGAAAACAGAAUUCUAAUGAACCAGUUUAAAGGUGACCAUGCUUCAGGCUUUCACCCAACGGCAACAAACUUCUCUAAUGCGUGAGCACCAGUCCCAAGUCAGCCACUGGACCCUGCCAGACCUACACUACUGUGGAGAAGCUGGAGGAGAGGAGAACGGACUCAGGGAAGAACUGAGCCCCAGGGUUCCACGGUGAGGAGCCUCGGUCCAUUGUCCACUUCCACACAUUGAUGUUGCGACACACAGACAAGUUCUCGGGAAGAGCUGACCUUUCAGUCCAGCCCCGGUGACUAGCAGCCCCUCUGGGCCCAGACCUGGUCUAGGUGAGAAGCAGCAGCUCUUGCUCCUGGGCAGAUGGCCAAGGUGCACCGCACCCCCUGCCUGGACCCCAGCCAGCCCUCCCCACUGGACUCGUGACCCUCUGUUUCCUGCUGCUUGGCAGGAAAUGAGUUCUGAGAGAGGACUGUGUGGGCUCCAGACAGCACACCCCCGCUUCAGGCAGAAAGUAGGAGGAAGAAGGGGAGGUCCCAACCAUAUCUGCCCCCAUCCCUCAGAAAAGCGAUGCUUUUAUUCAAAUCCUCCCAGCAGAUUUUUGCUUAGUAGUCUGGAAAGAACUGGAGCAUGUGGCCACUCCUGGCCGCAAGAAAGCCUGGGAAAAAGGGAGCAGGAUGAUCAUGACCGGCUUAGACCAAGGAUCAGCAACAUUUUCUACAAUGGGCUAGAGAGGAAACGUUUUAGACUGUGGGGGCCACAGUCCCUGCUGCAACUACUCAACUCUCCCUGGCUGUGUGAAAUCGGCCACAGACACAGAGCAAGUGGGUAUGGCUGUGCUCCAACAAAACUUUAUUGACAUUUACACUCGAGAAUCAUAUAAUGUUCAUGUGUCACAAAAUAUUCUUUGAUUUUUUCCAACCAUUUAAGAAAAUAUCAAAAACCAUUUUAGCUCAUGGGCCACACAAAACCAGGAGGCAGCCAUGUUUGGCUCUCGGGUGGUAGUUUGCCAGUCCUUGGCUUAGACCAGUCAUGAUCCAUUGCCUGGGGCUGAGCACACUGUCACUCCAAGGAAGGGUGUGUGUUUGGUAUGUAGUGUGGUAUAUGUGUGUUUACCAACACCCACUUGGGGUGUAUUACAUGAGCAACUAAUAGUGUUCCCCACAAGCCAUAUUGUCACUGCACAAGAAGAUUUGGAUCCAAACCAUCCAAACUUGAGAGCCUGCCCUCUUAGCCUCUAUGCUAACAUCCUCUGCUCAGAGACCUUAGCUCACUAUGAAGGUAAGGCUGGGGGAGGAGACAUGUAAUCAGGCAUCAGGAUUUGGAUGUCACCAAGAUGGCUCACGCAGGGACACAAGCCUAUACACUCCUGAGACUUUUCAGUGGCCUCUUCUCUUGGGAGGACCCGGAUGGGAGAUCAGAGGAGCAAGGGUACAGGGAGGAAGGGGGACCUCCCACCUCCCUCCCUCCCCAUGGGAAUGCACAUCCCCCCCCCCCCACCACCAACUGUAGGGAUCGGGUGGGGGCUUCCCUCCGGCCCUGGAGCAGGAUUUCCGUUUCCCUUGACAUUGAUAGACCGGAAAUUGGGUCUUAUUCUCAUGGUAGGAAAAGAAGGCCUCCCACUCUCCCUAGCUUCCUUUUUGUCUUGCUUUUCCCUUCUGCCCGUUCCAGUACUGAAGAGAUUCAGGGAGAUAUCUAACAGCUGAGGAAGCCUGAAAAAAUAUGUAAGCUAAGACAUGUCAUCCUUUCAGCCAUUAAAAAUUUUCUUUAGCUCC